UACGUAGGGUGCAAGCGUUGUCCGGAAUUAUUGGGCGUAAAGAGCUCGUAGGCGGUUUGUCGCGUCGAAUGUGAAAACCCGGGGGCUCAACCCCGGGCCUGCAUUCGAUACGGGCAGACUAGAGUUCGGUAGGGGAGUCUGGAAUUCCUGGUGUAGCGGUGAAAUGCGCAGAUAUCAGGAGGAACACCGGUGGCGAAGGCGGGACUCUGGGCCGAUACUGACGCUGAGGAGCGAAAGCGUGGGGAGCGAACAGG
rnacentral:rRNA from 1 species